rnacentral:rRNA from 1 species
AACCUGGUUGAUCUUGCCAGUAGUCAUAUGCUUGUCUCAAAGAUUAAGCCAUGCAAGUGAAAGUAUAUGCAUAUUUUAUAUGUAGAAACUGCGAACGGCUCAUUAAAACAGUUAUAAUCUACUUGACAUUUUAUUAUAAGGAUAACUACGGAAAAGCUGUAGCUAAUACUUGCUUUAAGUGCUUUUUACUUCUUGGAGUAAUUAGCAUGUAUUUGUUAAGCCUUAUAAGAAAAAUUUUUAAUUAAAGGAAUUAUAACAAAGAAGUAACACAUAAUAUAUUUACUAUAUUUAGUGUGUAUCAAUCGAGUUUCUGACCUAUCAGCUUUUGAUGUUAGGGUAUUGGCCUAACAUGGCUAUGACGGGUAACGGGGAAUUAGAGUUCGAUUCCGGAGAGGGAGCCUGAGAAAUAGCUACCACAUCUAAGGAAGGCAGCAGGCGCGUAAAUUACCCAAUUCUAAAUAAGAGAGGUAGUGACAAGAAAUAACAAUAUAAGGCCAAAUUUUGGUUUUAUAAUUGGAAUGAUGGGAAUUUAAAACCUUCCCAAAAAUCAAUUGGAGGGCAAGUCUGGUGCCAGCAGCCGCGGUAAUUCCAGCUCCAAUAGCGUAUAUUAAAAUUGUUGCAGUUAAAACGCUCGUAGUUGAACUUCAAGGGUAUUAUUAUUUUAAGUAACUCACUUGGCGAGAAUCUUGGCUCCGCCUCGAUAUCUUCAUGCCUUGUUGUAGUUCUUUUAAUUACAGACCCUUUGAGAGCCCAAUGAUUUAUCACUGGGUUUCUCGUUACUUUGAGUAAAUUAGAGUGUUCAAAGCAAACAGUUAAAGCGUUUUCGCGUUUGAAUACUAUAGCAUGGAAUAACAAAAUUGAACAAGUCAAAUUUUUUGUUCUUUUUUCUUAUUUUGGCUUAGUUACGAUUAAUAGGAGUAGCUUGGGGGCAUUUGUAUUCAGAUGUCAGAGGUGAAAUUCUUAGAUUUUCUGGAGACAAACAACUGCGAAAGCAUUUGCCUAAAAUACUUCCAUUAAUCAAGAACGAAAGUUAAGGGAGUGAAGACGAUCAGAUACCGUCGUAAUCUUAACCAUAAACUAUGCCGACUAAGUGUUGGAUGAAAAUUUAUAAAUAAGAUUUCCCUUCGGGGAUUUCUUAGAUUGCUUCCUUCAGUACCUUAUGAGAAAUCAAAGUCUUUGGGUUCUGGGGCGAGUAUUCGCGCAAGCGAGAAAGUUAAAAGAAUUGACGGAAGGGCACCACCAGGCGUGGAGCUUGCGGCUUAAUUUGACUCAACACGGGGAAACUCACUAGUUUAAGACAAGAGUAGGAUUGACAGAUUAAUAGCUCUUUCUUGAUUUCUUGGAUGGUGAUGCAUGGCCGUUUUUAGUUCGU